rnacentral:miRNA from 1 species
AACACCAUUGACCAGAAAGAAUUCCUUCUGGUCAAUGAAGUUAUUACGCUUCAUCGACCAGAAGGGGUUCCUUCUGGUCAAGGAGGUU